rnacentral:rRNA from 1 species
AGGGUUUGAUCCUGGCUCAGAACGAACGCUGGCGGCGUGGCUAAGACAUGCAAGUCGAACGGACCCGUUAAUUUAUUAGCGGGUUAGUGGCGAAAGGGUGAGUAAUGGAUAGGUAACGUACCCCGAGCUCCGGGAUAGCCAUCCGAAAGGGUGGGUAAUACCGGAUAACCUCACGAGUCGAUAGGCUCGUGAGCAAAGAUUUAUCGGCGCGGGAGCGGCCUAUCUCCUAUCAGCUAGUUGGUGAGGUAAUGGCCCACCAAGGCGAUGACGGGUAGCGGGACUGAGAGGUUGGCCCGCCACAUCGGAACUGAGACACUGUCCGGACCCCCCACGGGGGGCUGCAGUAACGGAUCUUGGGCAAUGGGCGAAAGCCUGACCCAGCGACGCCGCGUGCGCGAGGAAGUCCUUCGGGAUGUAAAGCGCUGUCAGGGGUAAGAAAGUCCACUUCGGUGGAUUGAUCUAACCCAGAGGAAGUCACGGCUAACUCUGUGCCAGCAGCCGCGGUAAGACAGAGGUGGCAAGCGUUGUUCGGUAUCACUGGGCUUAAAGCGUGUGUAGGCGGGAACGUAAGCAUUUUGUGAAAUCCCCCGGCUUAACCGGGGCAUUGCUUGAUGGACUGCGUUUCUUGAGGCAAGUAAGGGUGCGAGGAACUCUUGGUGGAGCGGUGGAAUGCGUAGAUAUCAAGAGGAACGCCGGCGGUGAAGACGUCGCACUGGGCUUGUCCUGACGCUGAGACACGAAAGCGUGGGGAGCAAACGGGAUUAGAUACCCCGGUAGUCCACGCUGUAAACGAUGCCUACUAGGUUGUGGCGGUUCUGACGCCGGCACAGCCGAAGCGAAAGUGUUAAGUAGGCCGCCUGGGGAGUACGGUCGCAAGGCUAAAACUCAAAGGAAUUGACGGGGGCUCACACAAGCGGUGGAGCAUGUGGAUCAAUUCGAAGCAACGCGCAGAACCUUACCUGGGUUUGACAUGCUUGGAUGCCCGCCUGGAAACAGGUUGGGCUGCCCUUCGGGGUGAAACUUGCACAGGUGCUGCAUGGCUGUCGUCAGCUCGUGUUGUGAGAUGUCGGGUUAAGUCCCUUAACGAGCGAAACCCUUGCCGUUAGUUGCCAGCGGGUCAUGCCGGGGACUCUAACGGGACUGCCGGUGUUAAACCGGAGGAAGGUGGGGAUGACGUCAAGUCAUCAUGGCCUUUAUGCCCAGGGCAUCACACGUGCUACAAUGGCUGGUACAAAGCGACGCGAGACCGCGAGGUGGAGCCAAUCGCAAAAAACCGGCCCCAGUACGGAUUGCAGGCUGGCAACUCGCCUGCAUGAAGGUGGAAUCGCUAGUAAUCGCGAAUCAGCUAUGUCGCGGUGAAUGUGUUCCUGAGCC